GCCUGGCUAGCUCAAUCGGUAGAGCGUGAGACUCUUAAUCUCAAGGCUGUGGGUUCAAGCCCCACGUCGGGCU
rnacentral:tRNA from 7 species